rnacentral:tRNA from 1 species
GCCCAGGUGGUGUAAUGGUAGCCACGCGAGUUCGAGGGGCUCGUGUCCGAAAGGACGUGAGGGUUCAAAUCCCUCCCUGGGCA